UGCCCACUCUAGCCCGACCACCACCCUCCCCCCAACAGUAAUAAACCACCCUCCCUCACUAAACCAAAACAUUCUAACCCCCGCCCUAGUAUAGGCGAUAGAAAAGAAGCUUAGGCGCAAUAGAGAUCCUGUACCGCAAGGGAAAGAUGAAAUAGUAAUGAAACUUAAAGCAAGAAAAAGCAAAGACUAACCCUUGUACCUCUUGCAUCAUGAUUUAGCAAGAACAACCAAGCAAAGCGAACUAAAGUUUGACCCCCCGAAACCCAAACGAGCUACUUUUAAGCAGCUAAAUUGAGCAAACCCGUCUCUGUUGCAAAAGAGUGGGAAGACUUAUCAGUAGAGGUGAAAAGCCAAUCGAGCUGGGUGAUAGCUGGUUACCUGCUAAACGAAUCUUAGUUCCCCCUUAACUCUUCCACAAGGACACCCAACUUAACCCCAACCCAUGAUAGAGUUAAGAGUAAUUCGAAGGGGGUACAGCUCCUUCGAAAAAAGAAAACAACCUCCCCUAGCGGAUUAACACCCAACCCCUCCCCCCUGCCGUGGGCCUUCAAGCAGCCAUCGACAAAAGAGUGCGUCAAAGCUCACACCACUAAAAAUCCCAAAACCCACUUGACUCCCUUACCCAAAGCAGGUUAAUCUAUGACCAUAGAAGAAUCAAUGCUAAAAUAAGUAACUUGGGGCCCCCCUCUGUGGCGCAAACUUACAUCCACACAUUAUUAACAGACAAUCAAUAUCAUCAAGUACAACAAGACUGCAUAUUACCCAACCUGUUAAACCAACUCCAGGAGCGCCCAUAAGAAGAUUUAAAUUUACAGAAGGAACUCGGCAAACCCAAAGACCCGACUGUUUACCAAAAACAUAGCCUUUAGCAAUCAACAAGUAUUAAAGGUGACGCCUGCCCAGUGACCAUGACGUUUAACGGCCGCGGUAUCCUAACCGUGCGAAGGUAGCGCAAUCAAUUGUCUCAUAAAUCGGGACUUGUAUGAAUGGCUAAACGAGGUCUUAACUGUCUCCUGUAAACAAUCAGUGAAAUUGGUAUUCUCGUGCAAAAACGAGAAUGAAAACAUAAGACGAGAAGACCCUGUGGAACUUCAAAAUCAUCAACCACCUUACUACCAAUACAAUCCACGCAGAUCUACCACCACAAAGUACUUGGUUGACAUUUUUCGGUUGGGGCGACCUUGGAGAAAAACAAAUCCUCCAAACCUUCCAGACCACCACUCUUCACCCAGACCCACCCAUCAAAGUGCUAACAGCAAUCUAGACCCAAUACAAUUGAACAAUGGACCAAGCUACCCCAGGGAUAACAGCGCAAUCUCCUCCAAGAGCCCAUAUCGACAAGGAGGUUUACGACCUCGAUGUUGGAUCAGGACAACCUAAUGGUGCAGCCGCUAUUAAGGGCUCGUUUGUUCAACGAUUAACAGUCCUACGUGAUCUGAGUUCAGACCGGAGCAAUCCAGGUCGGUUUCUAUCUAUGAACAUACUCCUCCUAGUACGAAAGGACCGGAGAAGUGGGGUCAAUACUAAAAGUACACCCCCCCUCUAAGCAAUGAAUCCAACUCAACUGCCAAGAGAACUACAACACUUCCCCACACAAACCCCUAGAAAAGGGCCA
rnacentral:rRNA from 1 species